ACGGGUGAGUAAUGCUUAGGAAUCUGCCUAUUAGUGGGGGACAACAUCUCGAAAGGGAUGCUAAUACCGCAUACGUCCUACGGGAGAAAGCAGGGGACCUUCGGGCCUUGCGCUAAUAGAUGAGCCUAAGUCGGAUUAGCUAGUUGGUGGGGUAAAGGCCUACCAAGGCGACGAUCUGUAGCGGGUCUGAGAGGGUGAUCCGCCACACUGGGGCUGAGACACGGCCCAGACUCCUACGGGAGGCAGCAGUGGGGAAUAUUGGACAAUGGGGGGAACCCUGAUCCAGCCAUGCCGCGUGUGUGAAGAAGGCCUUUUGGUUGUAAAGCACUUUAAGCGAGGAGGAGGCUACCGAGAUUAAUACUCUUGGAUAGUGGACGUUACUCGCAGAAUAAGCACCGGCUAACUCUGUGCCAGCAGCCGCGGUAAUACAGAGGGUGCAAGCGUUAAUCGGAUUUACUGGGCGUAAAGCGCGCGUAGGUGGCCAAUUAAGUCAAAUGUGAAAUCCCCGAGCUUAACUUGGGAAUUGCAUUCGAUACUGGUUGGCUAGAGUAUGGGAGAGGAUGGUAGAAUUCCAGGUGUAGCGGU
rnacentral:rRNA from 1 species